AUUCAAGGUCCAGGUUUGAGACUCAGGUUAUACUGAAUGGAUCCUAGGUUUUCUAGUUGCAUUACAGUAAUAAUAAGUAAUAAACUUAUCUCUCGACUAGACGGAGGAAAGAUAGUAUCUGCAAAAGACUUACAUGAAUAAACUAUAUUAGAUUUCUAAAUAAAAAUCAAUAGGUAAUAACAUUAAAUUGACAUAAACCAAUUUAAUUUAUGUGAGUAAGCUUACAAUAUAUUUAAAAUAUAAUUUGACGAUAUAUUUUGCCAGCUAAACAUAUUAGCUUGCAAAGCUGAGUUAGUUCAAGAAAGUUUGUUGCGGGUUUCUCCAAGGGUAUUGGGACUGUGAGGCUCCGGGGAAAACACUUCAUUCGAUCCACUUUCAUCCUUCAUGGAGAGGUACUGACUUCAUGAAGGAUGUAUAAAAAGAUCGGCAAGAGCAUCCAAACAAAUUAAUCAGCCUUUCAUGUCAGCCUUUUGUAUUGGAUGUGCAUGUUUCUUAUGUAAAUGAUAAUGUAACUUGGAACAAUUGAGUCCCUUGCUUUAUUUUCAUGUAGACCCAAAGAGCAGACUCAGUCACACCUGUGGCCUUAAGAGCUCACAUGAACUUUGACCUGUAAGCAAUGUGGAAAUGUUGGAUUUUUACUGGAGUCCAAAGGACUGCUUUUCACCGCUACCAAGGGACCCUGAAUAUUACACCACACUCAUCUUUCUGAACUGGCCACUGGCUGUCUUUUCAACUGCAUGUCUCAGGCACUGUGUGUACUGCUUUGAACUACUAGCCAUACUCUGCCAUUUGGGGCUCAAACUGAGGAAAUGUUUGCAUAGCAUCAUCUUCAAGAAGUUGUGUAUAUUCUGCUAGGAAGUAAAGAUGCUGACCUUAAGCAUUGAAAGAUGGAAGCCAUUCUGAGACAAUGCAGGGAGACUAAGUGCUUGUGGGUUAUUUUUGCUUUAUAAAGAGUUUGCAACCAGCCCAAGUUGAUCCACAGAGUAGUAGCUCCUAAAAGUCACUUAGCUAUGUAUUGGCUUUAUCUGGGAGCUAUGGCUACCAUUUCAGACUCUAAUAUAAAUAGACAAUAAAUAUUUUUCCUGAA